GUCAAAGAUAGCAGUUAGUGAGUUGAUGAUUAGUUAACGGCUGCAACUAAUUGUAAGGAGCAUAUCAAUCAGUCAAUGAUACAAGAAAUUCCUUCUUUAUAUUCUCUCUCUCUUUCUUCCUCCUCCUUCUUCUUCUUCUACUGUUCCUCCUUAUUUGAUCCGUCUUCUUCUACCCUUUCUUCUAUUUCCUUCCCCUUUUCCUCUGUUUUCUGCUUGGUUGUGGCCUAGUCACAACAUUUGGUAUCAAAGCAAUAAGAUACUGUUUUGGGUGUCCUACUAUCGUGAUAAUUUACAAACUAGCAAGGAAUAACAAGAAAGCUAUGGCUGCUGAGAACCCAAGAUUACAAAAUCUGCAAGAGCAGUUGCAGUCACAGAAUCAAAAGAUUCAAGAAUUGAGUUUGACCUUGCACAAGGUUGAAGAAAGGAUGAAUCAGAUGAUGGAGAUGAUGAGAGCCUCGCAAGAAAACGAGAGGAGGCAAGCAGAAGUUGCUCGCUAUGGGGAGAAGUAUCCUGAUAAAAUACGUGUAAUUGUGGAAAAGGCCGGAAGGAGUGAUGUUCCUGAUAUUGAUAAGAAGAAGUUAGUAGCAUUCUUUCUUUCUUCAUACUCUCUCCAGUUUCACAUUCUCUUCCACAUUUUUUUUACACAAGGAAGUUGUUACACUUCAGGAACUUCUUAUUAUAUAUUCUGCAGUAAUAAGGCCUUCUCUAGUUGUAUAUUCAUUCAAUUUUCAGCACUGUAGUUAUUUCUUGGUAGCUGUGCGUAUUUUAGUUUUGGAAUGCAUAUGGCGUUGCCUAUUGUCAUAGGCUUGAGGUAGUAUUUUCACUGUAUUUGUAUGCUUUUGGUUAGUUAAGGUGCACCUUAGCAGCAGUGGUAAUGUUUUUUGGUGAGAUUUUUGCUGCCAUUAGGUUCACAACUGUUGGUGAUGGACAUAGAACUGGUAUUUGGGGAAUACUCUCUAGUAAUUCAGGACAUGGGAUUAUGGAGAUUUACCCUAAGCUAUGUAUUUUUUUCUUUUUUUUUUUUGGGGAUGUGGUGGUAAUGUUGAUUAACAUAAUGUAAAAGAUGUUGAUGAACUUGAAUAUAGUUCAGAUCAUUCAAGCAAAGCUAACAUGAUGAGGCACAUGUUUUAUGUGAGGUCUCUGUUAUGGACGCAUGUUAAAACUAACAUGUACACAAGAAACUUAGGUUUUUAAGUCUAGGUAGGUUUGCUAAGUGCUUUUUCAUUGGUUGAUUCAAAGAUAAGAUUUGGCUUCUACACAUGCAUGCCAAAUAUAAGGUGUACCAAUUUAAUAUUGGAUGUAAGUAGGAAGUUUCUUUGCUUGCACUUAUUUUUAUAUUAUAGGGAUCAUUGAGCGGCAUUGCCAAAUCAAUUUUUUUUUCAAAUCUACCGUACGCUAGCUUUCCUUUAAUUUUUCUGGUUAUUGUGAAUUUAGAUAUCUUGUGCCAGCUGAUUUGACCGUGGGCCAGUUUGUCUAUGUUGUCCGUAAAAGGAUUAAGCUUAGUGCUGAAAAGGCUAUAUUUGUGUUUGUGAAGAACACUUUACCUCCAACUGCUGCAUUGAUGUCUACAAUCUAUGAGGAGAACAAGGAUGAAGAUGGUUUUCUUUACAUGAGUUACAGUGGGGAGAAUACCUUUGGAUCCCAUCAAGAGGAGUAGAAUUUUUCUGUCUGAAUGAAACAGGAAGAUGUAUAUUCUAAGCUGUCCAUAGUAAUGUUCUAACCAGCUUAUAUAUCAUGCUCAUCUUAUUUUGGAUUUAUGCUAUUAAGGUACUGGAGGAAUUUUGAGUUGGAACUGAAUGGAUUCAUAUGAAUUCUAGUGAUCUGAUUUCCAAUUACCUUAUUUUUCUUUCAUUUGCAAAUAAUGUGGGAGUACCUUGUUUCAAUAUUUAUAUUUGUUCUGUCUAAAGAUGAUAAACUUAAAAUUUUUUGCUACAAUGAUUAAAAGUUAAAGAAAUAAAAUCUUAAACGACUUGAUGAACUUGUCUUGUUUAGAUAGAAUCGAUGCUUCUGUGCAUGGAAAGAUAGUUGACCCGAUGUUGUUUGAUUUGAGAUUGGCCUACCGUUUUAGGUGUCAAUUAGUUUAGCUUUUUAUGACAGCCCUCAUGGAGGAGAUAUUCAAUUAAGCUAGACAAAAGAAGGAAAAGAGCACUAAUGGUCCAAAUAAAAUACGAUGCAACACUUAAAACUUGAUUAACAGGCCAAAACUGUCCCAAGAAAAGGAUAGUGAUGUCAAGAACUGCAACAAGUUUUAUUGUGUGAUCAUUUAGGCGAGCCCUUUUUCUGGCAUUUAUUUUUGACCCAUUUGAAGCUGGUAGAUGCUCCAGUCUUGAUCCUCUGAGCUCCCACCAUUGCAGCUGCUUUGGCUUUAUUCAAUCCUGAUUUGCCAUCUGACUUCUUAUUAUUGCUGGUGUCUUUCUUAUUGGUAGUGUCCUCUUCUGCCAUGGCACCAAUACCCCCUGCACCCCACUGAUCUGCCCAGCUUGGUGGCUCGCUUUCCAUUGAUUCUUGCUUUUGUUCAAUAUAACCCCAAAAAUCCAGGAAGAACAAAUUAUCAGGAACCCAUUACAAUUGUGCAGCAAAUUAACUUGUGGAACCAAAGAAUGUAUGGAAAAUUUGGAAGAAGCAAGUCCUUAGCACUAGUUUCAGCAAUCUUAUUGUAUGCCAUGAAAAGAUGAAAAAUUUUCGUUAUUAUUUGUGUAUAAGAAAGAGAGCAAAUAAUAAAAUCUAGAUCUAUAGCAGUGCAAAGAUAAAGAAGUCAAACAAAGCAAGAAAAAGAUCCAAGCAACAUACUCAAACAUAAUCAAAGAGCAGAUCAAGAAAGAGAAUACCUGGUGAUAAUAGGGCAACAGAGGCUUAGAUUGAGAAACUGAGAAUAGAGGAGUUGAUAGAAAUGAUUAAGUGCUUAAGGACCAAUAACUAUAAGCCGAAAAAAAAAAAGAAAAGAGCCACCUGUAGAUGGGCUGUCUUUACUCAAUCAUAUACUUUUUUAAAAGGAGACUUGCCAACUCACUUGUUUCUCCCUUGUUAAGCAAUCCAUGUUUGGAAUCUCCCCUUUUUAAUUCUCUUCCUAGUUAUGUUCACCCCUUUCUUUUCCAUUUGUAUAAUAUCUUAG
rnacentral:misc_RNA from 1 species